CUCCCCCAGAACCAUUCUCUUUUAAAACGUUCUAUAGGUAAUGCAUUAUACAGAUAAAUGCUUUCUAUAAGGUAAGCUUGUUAUCUACAUAUGUUUCAUGGAAAUACGAGGCAUAAGCAAUGAUUGCCAAUGAUUCUUUACUCUCUGAUCUGGCAGACAAAAGGCUAAAUGAAGCUGGAUUUACCAGCUUCAGAAAAACCAAUUCCAUCAGGUUCUGUUGUAUCUAUAAGUACCACUUGGUGGUGCAAGCAUUCAAAAAAACACUAAUUGCUUUCCAGUUUAUGGAUGUCUUUUUAACUCAUUGAGAAUCAGAGCGAUGUGACACCUGUUUCAGAACAUCCCAAGUUGAUAAUAAUCUAGCCGAACUGGAGAAAUUCUUUAAAUGUCCUGUAUUAUUAUUUAAAGGGUGCUACCAUUUUAGAUUGUAAGCUCACUUAACCAGGGCCCUCACUGCCUCUUUUCCUGUAAUUUAAACUUGCCUUGUUAAAUGCAUUUGUUUGUCUCAUCCACAUAAUCUACAAAAUAAUUUGGCACAAUAUACGAUAACUAUAAAUAGAAUUAUUAUAUAUCAAAGACCAUGCUUCUAACACAUCUUACUGGUGCAAGCAGAUGUACAUACUUUUAAAGCCCUAAUACCAUGCUCAGAUUUAAAUCAGAGAGAUUUAAUGUAUUUAAAUGUUCGGUUUUAUAUUUAACUGGUUGAAUUCUGGUACAGUGCUGAAAGCAUUGUCUGGCAAUAUGCUGGGCACACCCAUGCCAUCCAGGGGUUUAAAGAUAAUAGACUGACUUUUUCCAAAGGGAUCUCUAGAGACUUUAUAACGUGACAAUCCUAAAUUAAUUAUUUUCCAAAGGGAUCUCCCUAGAAAAAUUAGAAUGUGACAAUCCUACAAUAAUUAUUUUCAACCAGAUCUGAUUAAAUAUCUAGAAGGGAGGGCUGUCUAUUUGAUAAUCAGGUCCAAUUCUACAUUUCUGAAGCAUUUCUUUAAUUCAUAUGUAUUCGGGCUGAAAUAUAUAUGCAAAUAUAAUUUAUAAACAAAUAGGUUUCCUUUGUAUGUUGCGUUAGAUCGAAUAGAAUGAUAGUUAUUCCUUAUUGCCGUCAUGUAAAUUGUCUGAAAUACAAAUAUGACAGUUUCAGUUAAUCAAAGUGUGCUGUAUCAGUACUGGCAAACGUGGUCUCCCACAAUCCCAUGUGCUGGUUACUGUGGGUUUCUCUGCUCAGGAAAUGUACCAAGUCCAUAUGUCAGAUCCAGAGCCACAUUUUGUGCGUGCAGAACAUAUAAUGACUUUAUUUGCUGGCAGAUCUGCGGCUGAUAGAUUCUCUUUAAAUGUGAUCAGUUCUAGAGCUCUCAGCAGAGAUCCUUCUAUUUAUUUACAUAGCUCGAAAUAUAUCACUGCGCAUCCAAUACAGCUCCUUUAAAAAUGUCUUUAAAAUAUUUUUUUUUUUAGAUGAAGGGAAAAAAAGUUUAAAAAAAAAUAUUUCUUUAUAGGGAAAAGAAAAAGCAUAGCCCCCAAGCCAUUAAAUAAUGCAUACAUAUGACAGAUAGGAAGUGAAGGCUCUCCAAACCGUGCAGUGCCGCAUGGAUAAUAGACGUUAUGUAAUUUUUAAG